CAAUGUCUUAGGGUUGUGAAAACAAAACAACAAACAAACAAACAAACCCAGAAAAGGCUGCAGUUCCCUUGUCUGUAAUAUGGAGGUUUUGCCUAUCUCAUAAGGUGGUUUUAGAUCUUAUAAUGUCCUUAUUCAGUGUUAAUCUCUGGUUACUCCUGCCUCCAGUCUCAGCAUUCUGUAAGCAAUAUCAAGUGAUGUGGAUCCAUAUCAAGUGAGGUGGAUCUUAUGUGAGCCUGACAGGCUUCCAUCCUCACAGAGCAGUCUAUAAACAUGAAAGUGAUCAAGGUCAGACUGCCUGGUUCAGAGGCUCACCCUGAGAUCUAAACCUUUCUGCCCCCACUGUCCUCAAAUCUAAGUAGGAUUAAAAUGGUAUGCAUGUUAUAAGGGUGCGGUAGGGAUUAAAUAAGAAAAUUAUUUUCACUUGGCACUCAUUGAAUGAAUGGGAUUUAAAAAGCUGCAUUAGGUAAAGCAAUCAAAAGGUGUGUCUAGGGUAGGGCUAUAUCUCGGGCGGGGCUGGGGCUGGGGCAGGCCUGUGUCUAGGGUAUGUGUAGGGUGGGCAUCUCAGGGUUAUGUUUAAUGACUGCUGCUCCAGAAUUCAACACUUCAUCAUUCAGAACCUGGACUAGAGAUUUGUCCUAACUUCCAAAGUGGGCCCAGAAGUGAUGCCAUUAGAAUGUGAAGUCCUCCAAGAAGAUGCUGUAGGAAUGGCCUUUAUCCCAGGGCCUGGAGAGCAGCCAGAGACAAGGAGAGUGGCCCAGGAGGGCAGUGGCAGUCAGCUGUAUGCUGUGGCCUGUCAGCCUCGGAGCCAGAAGUUAAUCACAGGCUCUCCCAUUGACAGUCAUAAUGAAAUAAGAAAAAGAAGACGGGGAAGAGGAAGUAGAAAACCAUGGCAUAAAUUUACCAAGAGUAAGCUGAGUGUGUACUUCAGCAGUCGUUUGCACAGAAUCUUUAUCCUGAUUUAA
rnacentral:lncRNA from 1 species